rnacentral:rRNA from 1 species
UACAGAGGUGGCAAGCGUUGUUCGGAAUUACUGGGCGUAAAGCGUGCGUAGGCGGUCCGUUAAGUUCGUUGUGAAAGCCCCGGGCUCAACCUGGGAAUGGCAAUGGAAACUGGCGGGCUUGAGUAUGGCAGAGGGGGGUGGAAUUCCGCGUGUAGCAGUGAAAUGCGUAGAGAUGCGGAGGAACACCGAUGGCGAAGGCAGCCCCCUGGGCCAAUACUGACGCUCAGGCACGAAAGCGUGGGGAGCAAACAGG